CCUACGGGGGGCUGCAGUGGGGAAUAUUGCACAAUGGGGGAAACCCUGAUGCAGCGACGCCGCGUGAGUGAAGAAGUAUUUCGGUAUGUAAAGCUCUAUCAGCAGGGAAGAAAAAAGACGGUACCUGACGAAGAAGCCCCGGCUAACUACGUGCCAGCAGCCGCGGUAAGACGGAGGGGGCAAGCGUUAUCCGGAUUUACUGGGUGUACAGGGAGCGUAGACGGAGAAGCAAGUCUGAAGUUAAAGCCCGUGGCUUUACCACGGGACUGCUUUGGAAAAGGGUGGACUAGAGUGCGGGGGCGGUGAGUGGACUGCCUAGUGUAGCGGUGAAAUGCGUCGAUAUUAGGAGGACCACCAGUUGCGAAGGCGGCUUACUGGACAGUAACUGACGUUGAGGCUCGAACGCGUGGGGAGCAAACAGGAUUAGAUACCCUUGUAGUC
rnacentral:rRNA from 1 species